GGAGGAAUAUUGCGCAAUGGGCGAAAGCCUGACGCAGCGACGCCGAGUGGAGGAUGAAGGUCCUAGGAUUGUAAACUCCUGUCGGAUGGGAAGAAAAGGUUUGUUUUUAAUAGAGGCGAAUCAUGACGGUACCAUCAAAGGAAGCACCGGCUAACUUCGUGCCAGCAGCCGCGGUAAUACGAAGGGUGCAAGCGUUAUUCGGAUUUACUGGGCGUAAAGAGUGCGUAGGCGGUUUGUUAAGUUUGUUGUUAAAGACCCUGGCCUAACCAGGGGGUUGCGAUGAAAACUGGCAGGCUAGAGGGUGAGAGAGAGAAGUGGAAUUCCCGGAGUAGCGGUAAAAUGCGUGGAUCUCGGGAGGAACACCAAUGGCGAAGGCAGCUUCUUGGUUCACACCUGACGUUGAGGCACGAAAGCGUGGGGAGCAAACA
rnacentral:rRNA from 1 species